rnacentral:rRNA from 1 species
GUAGGUGGCAAGCGUUGUCCGGAAUUAUUGGGCGUAAAGCGCGCGCAAGCGGUUCUUUAAGUCUGAUGUGAAAGCCCACGGCUCAACCGUGGAGGGUCAUUGGAAACUGGAGAACUUGAGUACAGAAGAGGAAAGCGGAAUUCCACGUGUAGCGGUGAAAUGCGUAGAGAUGUGGAGGAACACCAGUGGCGAAGGCGGCUUUCUGGUCUGUAACUGACGCUGAGGCGCGAAAGCGUGGGGAGCAAACAGGGAUUAGAUACCCUGGUAGUCCACGCCGUAAACGAUGAGUGCUAAGUGUUAGGGGGGUUUUCCGGCCCCCCUUAGUGCUGCAGCUAACGCAUUAAGCACUCCGCCUGGGGAGUACGGCCGCAAGGCUG